rnacentral:rRNA from 1 species
CGCUCAGAUUGAACGCUGGCGGCAGGCUUAACACAUGCAAGUCGAGCGGUAACAGGUCCUUCGGGAUGCUGACGAGCGGCGGACGGGUGAGUAAUGCUUAGGAAUCUGCCUGGUAGUGGGGGAUAGCCCGGGGAAACCCGGAUUAAUACCGCGUACGCCCUUCGGGGGAAAGCAGGGGAUCUUCGGACCUUGCGCUAUCAGAUGAGCCUAAGCCGGAUUAGCUAGUUGGUAGGGUAAAGGCCUACCAAGGCGGCGAUCCGUGGCUGGUCUGAGAGGAUGAUCAGCCACAUCGGGACUGAGACACGGCCCGAACUCCUACGGGAGGCAGCAGUGGGGAAUAUUGGACAAUGGGGGCAACCCUGAUCCAGCCAUGCCGCGUGUGUGAAGAAGGCUUUCGGGUUGUAAAGCACUUUCAGUGAGGAGGAAGGCCUUAAGGUUAAUACCCUUGAGGAUUG